rnacentral:rRNA from 1 species
CCUACGGGAGGCUGCAGUGAGGAAUAUUGGUCAAUGGGCGGAAGCCUGAACCAGCCAAGUAGCGUGCGGGAUGAAGGCCCUACGGGUCGUAAACCGCUGUUGCACGGGGAUAACACCCGCCACGUGUGGAGGUCUGCAGGUACCGUGCGAAUAAGGGCCGGCUAAUUCCGUGCCAGCAGCCGCGGUAAUACGGAAGGACCGAGCGUUAUCCGGAUUCAUUGGGCUAAAAGGGAGCGUAGGCGGGCGUUCAAGUCAGCUGUAAAAUCGCGCGGCUCAACCGCGCCCCGCAGUUGAAACUGGGGGCCUUGAGUUCACAACAGGCAGGCGGAAUUCGUGGUGUAGCGGU